ACCUACAGGAUGGUAGAUCUUCAGAUACUGGGCUGGGCAGCCCUGAUACAGGCUAUGGUUAUGCAAAUUAUUAUUAUUAUUAUUAUUAUUAAUUUGGUGGCCCUCAAACGAAUCUGGCCCUGUUUUUCUUUUCUUUCAUGUAAUUAACUGAAGAGUUAGCGCUGCUGAUUGGCCAGAGUAUCUUCACACCUGGAGGAGGAACAUGGGGAGGGACCUUUGGGUUCAGUUGGCCAGUCCAGAAACUGGUGUGCUUUGGAUGCCAACAGUAAACACAUGAUAGUGGUUGAAUGAAUAUUGUUAAAUUGAUUUUCCAGCUGGUCUAAUACAACACCCUCCUUCCUGGUCUACCUACUUUGGAACAUAAGGCCUCUGCAGCAAAACCAUGGUGCUGCUUACCUGAUCUACAAGCUAACCAGGCUCAGUGACGGGAGGAUGUGCCGUGUGGGGGCUGGAACC